rnacentral:rRNA from 1 species
AUUGAACGCUGGCGGCAUGCUUUACACAUGCAAGUCGAACGGCAGCGCGGGCUUCGGCCUGGCGGCGAGUGGCGAACGGGUGAGUAAUACAUCGGAACGUGCCCAGUAGUGGGGGAUAGCUCGGCGAAAGCCGGAUUAAUACCGCAUACGACCUGAGGGUGAAAGCGGGGGAUCUUCGGACCUCGCGCUAUUGGAGCGGCCGAUGGCAGAUUAGCUAGUUGGUGGGGUAAAGGCCUACCAAGGCGACGAUCUGUAGCUGGUCUGAGAGGACGACCAGCCACACUGGGACUGAGACACGGCCCAGACUCCUACGGGAGGCAGCAGUGGGGAAUUUUGGACAAUGGGCGAAAGCCUGAUCCAGCAAUGCCGCGUGUGUGAUGGAGGCCUUCGGGUUGUAAAGCACUUUUGGCGGGAACGAAAAGGACUGUGCCAAUACCACGGUUCGAUGACGGUACCCGCAGAAUAAGCACCGGCUAACUACGUG